GGGACGAGAAGACCCCAUAGAGUUUUAUAAUUUAUUUAUUGAUAGUUAUUAGUAAAUAAAAAAUUUUUAAUUAUUAUAAAUUAUUUUAUUGGGGGUGAUAGAAAAAUAAAAAUAACUUUUUUUAAAAAGGGAACAUAAAUAAGUGAAUAAAUGAUCCAAUUUUAUUGAUUAUAAGAAAAAAUUACCUUAGGGAUAACAGCGU
rnacentral:rRNA from 1 species